CAGCCGUAAACAAUGUGCGUUAGGUGUGUCGGUAACCACGCGUUACUGAUGCGCCGAAGAGAAAUCGUGAAACGCACCACCCGGGAAGUACGGUCGCAAGGCUGAAACUUAAAGGAAUUGGGCGGGGGGAGGCACCACAACAGGUGGAGCCUGCGGUUUAAAUUUGGAUUCAACGCCGGACAUCUCACCGGAUAAGACAGCUGAAUGAUUGUCAAUCUGAAGGUUUACUANGACUAGCUGAGAGGUGGUGCAUGGCGGUCAGUGACU
rnacentral:rRNA from 1 species